UAUGCAUGUGAAUCCAUAGCCAGAAUCGUACUGAGAUUCAUUGGAUUCAUAAGCUCCGUUGUACCAGACAUGAUUUGCUGCACAAUGAUCUUAUUUGCCCUCUCAGAUGGAUGGAACGGGUCCCAAAACGCGUAAACAUCUCUAUUCGGGCACAAAUUAGAGAGCGGUGUACAUAGACCAAGACCGUUAUAUGGUCCUUGUCCACAACAUGCUACCUUUGAUGUUAUAAAUCCAUAUGCUUGUGGAUUAGUAAUGAAAUUCGUAUGCAUUUGUUGUGUAUUUGCAGCAAUAAAAACAUCGCUG
rnacentral:misc_RNA from 1 species